AGGUAAUUAGUUUAAAAAAAAUAUUUGAUUUCGGCUCAAAAGCUUAUGGUUAAAGUCCAUAAUUAGCCUG
rnacentral:tRNA from 1 species